CAAUAUGUCGUGCGCAAUGACUUUGCUAACUUGAGCAUGGUCGUUUCCUCCGAGUUAUUGCACUUAUUUGCGCGUUUGUUCAAGGCGUGGGAUGUGCUUCACUCCAGAUUCUACCUGAGCUAGCGCACGACAUUUAUUGUUGAAAAAGGCUGCUGAGAACGACAAAGGGUAGAGAUGAGCCGGCACCCAGUCUUUUAUAAGAUGGAAAAGACUGCCCCCUAUCGCAUGUUAAAUACGCUUCGCCAGUGCCUAUAGAAAAUAGCGGAGAGACUGCACGAUCCUCGCAGAUGAUGCAAAGCUUGACAGAUGUCCCUGAACGUCUCCAAAUGCAGUUUCCUUACGGAAAUCUCCUGUCCCAUGUUCCAUUGAACAGCGGGGCCAUUUUUCUGGUUAACAACUUUAAUGGUGAUUUCAAGUGGUCGAUUCGGCCCUCCGAGCCGGAUCGCAAGGUGGACCACAUCCGAGUCAGAGAAAGCCCUCGCCAUCACAACGACAUAUCGCUUUACAGAGGGAAGGCCGGUCCCCGCCAGAAACGUUUGCCCAGCGUUGAAAAGCAGCAGGCUCCGCUAAAGUCUCCAACCUCUCCUUCAACUGGAUCUCAAUAAAGGAUCGCGUGUUUCUAACUCAAUAAAUCAAGAAUGUUUGGCCGGCUACAAAUAAUCGGGGACAGAAAUAUUUCUUUUGCGCAGACAAAUUUCAACACAGCAACUUACUGGUAAAGCAUUCGUCU